AUUGAACGCUGGCGGCAGGCCUAACACAUGCAAGUCGAACGAGUGGCGGACGGGUGAGUAAUGUCUGGGAAACUGCCUGAUGGAGGGGGAUAACUACUGGAAACGGUAGCUAAUACCGUAUACCAUCGGAUGUUCCCAUGUGGGAUUAGCUAGUAGGUGGGGUAACGGCUCACCUAGGCGACGAUCCCUAGCUGGUCUAAGAGGAUGACCAGCCACACUGGAACUGAGACACAGUCCAGAUGCCUACGGAAGGCAGGAGUGGGGAAUAUUGCAAAGAGGGCGCAAGCCUGAGGCAGCCAUGCCGAGUGUAUGAAGAAGGCCUUCGAGUUGUAAAGUAAUUUCAAAGGAGAGGCGUUACCCUCAGAAGAAGCACCGGCUAACUCCGUGCGAGCAGCCGCGGUAAUAA
rnacentral:rRNA from 1 species